rnacentral:rRNA from 1 species
GAUGAACGCUGGCGGCGUGCCUAAUACAUGCAAGUCGAGCGAAUGGAUUAAGAGCUUGCUCUUAUGAAGUUAGCGGCGGACGGGUGAGUAACACGUGGGUAACCUGCCCAUAAGACUGGGAUAACUCCGGGAAACCGGGGCUAAUACCGGAUAACAUUUUGAACCGCAUGGUUCGAAAUUGAAAGGCGGCUUCGGCUGUCACUUAUGGAUGGACCCGCGUCGCAUUAGAUAGUUGGUGAGGUAACGGCUCACCAAGGCAACGACGCGUAGCCGACCUGAGAGGGAGAUCGGCCACACUGGGACAGGGCCACGGCCCAGACUCCUACGGGAGGCAGCAGUAGGUAAUUUUCCGCAAUGGACGAAAGUCUGCCGGAGCAACGCCGCGUGAGUGAUGAGGGCUUUCGGGUCGUAAAACUCUGUUGUUAGGGAAGAACAAGUGCUAGUUGAAUAAGCUGGCACCUUGACGGUACCUAACCAGAAGGCCACGGCUAACUACGUGCCAGCCGCCGCCGUAA